GUCCAAAUGGGUUGUUCAGUGGAC
rnacentral:siRNA from 1 species